AACGAACGCUGGCGGCAUGCCUAACACAUGCAAGUCGAACGAGACCUUCGGGUCUAUUGUCGCACGGGUGCGUAACGCGUGGGAACCUUCCCUUAGGUUCGGAAUAACUCCCCGAAAGGGGUGCUAAUACCGGAUAAUGUCUUCGGACCAAAGAUUUAUCGCCUUUGGAUGGGCCCGCGUUGGAUUAGCUAGUUGGUAGGGUAAAAGCCUACCAAGGCGACGAUCCAUAGCUGGUCUGAGAGGAUGAUCAGCCACACUGGGACUGAGACACGGCCCAGACUCCUACGGGAGGCAGCAGUGGGGAAUAUUGGACAAUGGGCGAAAGCCUGAUCCAGCAAUGCCGCGUGAGUGAUGAAGGCCUUAGGGUUGUAAAGCUCUUUUACCCGGGAUGAUAAUGACAGUACCGGGAGAAUAAGCUCCGGCUAACUCCGUG
rnacentral:rRNA from 1 species